UACAGAGGGUGCGAGCGUUAAUCGGAAUUACUGGGCGUAAAGCGCGCGUAGGCGGCUUUGCAAGUCGAGUGUGAAAUCCCCAGGCUCAACCUGGGAACUGCAUUCGAGACUGCAUAGCUAGAGUAUGGGAGAGGGAAGUGGAAUUUCAGGUGUAGCGGUGAAAUGCGUAGAUAUCUGAAGGAACAUCAGUGGCGAAAAGCGACUUUCUGGUCUGUAACUGACGCUGAGGCGCGAAAGCGUGGGGAGCAAACAGG
rnacentral:rRNA from 1 species